rnacentral:rRNA from 1 species
UACGUAGGGUGCAAGCGUUGUCCGGAAUUAUUGGGCGUAAAGAGCGUGUAGGCGGCCCGAUUAGUCCGCUGUGAAAGUCCAGGGCUCAACCCCUGGAAUGCCGGUGGAUACUGUCGGGCUAGAGUCCGGAAGGGGCGAGUGGAAUUCCUGGUGUAGCGGUGAAAUGCGCAGAUAUCAGGAGGAACACCAAUGGCGAAGGCAGCUCGCUGGGACGUGACUGACGCUGAGACGCGAAAGCGUGGGGAGCAAACAGG